rnacentral:rRNA from 1 species
GACAGAGGGUGCAAACGUUGUUCGGAAUUACUGGGCGUAAAGCGAGUGUAGGCGGUUUGGUAAGUCGGAUGUGAAAGCCCCGGGCUCAACCCGGGAAGUGCACUCGAUACUGCCAAGCUAGAGUAUCGGAGAGGUUGGUGGAAUUCUCGGUGUAGAGGUGAAAUUCGUAGAUAUCGAGAGGAACACCGGUGGCGAAGGCGGCCAACUGGACGAAUACAUGACGCUGGAGAACUCGAAAGCGUGGGGAGCAAACAGG